rnacentral:rRNA from 1 species
CGUCCUACGGGGCGCAGCAGUGGGGAAUAUUGGGCAAUGGGCGCAAGCCUGACCCAGCAACGCCGCGUGAAGGAAGAAGGCUUUCGGGGUGUAAACUUCUUUUCUCAGGGACGAAGAAAGUGACGGUACAUGAGGAAUAAGCCACGGCUAAAUACGUGCCAGGAGCCGCGGUAAUACGUAGGAGGCAAGCGUUAUCCGGAUUUACUGGGUGUAAAGGGCGUGUAGGCGGGAAAGCAAGUCAGAUGUGAAAACCAUGGGCU